CCGGAUUCAUUGGGUUUAAAGGGUGCGUAGGCGGACUAUUAAGUCAGUGGUGAAAUCCUGCAGCUUAACUGCAGAACUGCCAUUGAUACUGAUAGCCUUGAGUUUGGUUAAGGUAGGCGGAAUGUGUAAUGUAGCGGUGAAAUGCUUAGAUAUUACACAGAACACCAAUUGCGUAGGCAGCUUACUGAGCCGACACUGACGCUGAGGCACGAAAGCGUGGGGAUCGAACAGGAUUAGAUACCCUGGUAGUCCACGCCGUAAACGAUGAUUACUCGCUGUUGGCGAUACACUGUCAGCGGCUAAGCAAAAGCAAUAAGUAAUCCACCUGGGGAGUACGGCCGCAAGGUUGAAACUCAAAGGAAUUGACGGGGGCCCGCACAAGCGGAGGAACAUGUGGUUUAAUUCGAUGAUACGCGAGGAACCUUACCUGGGCUUAAAUGUAGAGUGCAUUUUCUAGAGAUAGGAAUUCCCUUCGGGGCUUUCUGCAAGGUGCUGCAUGGUUGUCGUCAGCUCGUGCCGUGAGGUGUCGGGUUAAGUCCCAUAACGAGCGCAACCCUUAUCGUUAGUUGCCAUCUGGUAAAGCAGGGACUCUAGCGAAACUGCCACCGUAAGGUGAGAGGAAGUGGGGGAUGACGUCAAAUCAGCACGGCCCUUAUGUCCAGGGCUACACACGUGUUACAAUGGUCGGUACAGAGGGCAGCUACCUGGUGACAGGAUGCUAAUCUCGAAACCGGUCUCAGUUCGGAUCGAAGUCUGCACUCGACUUCGUGAAGCUGGAUUCGCUAGUAAUCGCGCAUCAGC
rnacentral:rRNA from 1 species